UGUGUUUGUGGGGGAUGUUGGCUGGUGCGACGCAACCACGUUUUUGCAGUUAAUUCUGAGAUAGAAAAAAACGUGAUGGCAUCGGACCAGGCUUCAUUCCUCUCAAACCCG
rnacentral:pre_miRNA from 1 species